rnacentral:lncRNA from 10 species
AUCGCCUUCAAAGGAGCCUUGUACACAAUCUCUAGGUGAGGAAUGACUUUGUAAUCCGAGGCAUAAGAUCUCAAAUUAACAGCCCAUUAUUAUGGAAGUUCUUUAUUGAUCGCCAAAAUGGGUUAGGUAUACCUGUUAACAAGAACCUGAGACCUGCCGAACAGCAGGUGCCAAAGAUGCUGCUGUAACACCACAGCCCUCCCAUCUUCCAUCCUCCACUGGCGCUGAGUGGCAGUCCCAUGUGACAGGAAGUGGAGGCAGAGCUGGGCCAGCCCAGGAGCCACGUGCUGGAGCCAGAUACUCUGUUUUUCUACAAAUGGAAAGUUUGUGGCAUCCUUGACUCAAGCAAAUUUUUCAGCACCAUUUUUCAAGAGCGUGUGCUCACUUCACCUCUCUGUAUCGUGUUUUGAUGCUUGUCCUGGAAACCAACCAUGAGCUGUGAUGAAAUCCAGGCAACUGAGUUGUGUUUCAGCCCAAAGCAGCAAAUGGAAUCCAGCUUCAGGACCAUCAUCUGACAUAGGGGAAGAAGACUUACAUAGAAGGCCUAACCAGCA